rnacentral:rRNA from 1 species
GACGAACGCUGGCGGCGCGCCUAACACAUGCAAGUCGAACGGAGUUAUUUCAGCAGAAGCUUUCGGGUGGACGCAGGGAUAACUUAGUGGCGAACGGGUGAGUAACACGUGAGGAACCUGCCCUGGAGUGGGGGAUAACAGUUGGAAACGACUGCUAAUACCGCAUAAGCCCACAGCACCGCAUGGUGCAGCGGGAAAAGGAGCAAUUCGCUUCAGGAUGGCCUCGCGUCCAAUUAGGUAGAUGGUGAGGUAACGGCCCACCAAGGCGACGAUCGGUAGCCGGACUGAGAGGUUGAACGGCCACAUUGGGACUGAGACACGGCCCAG